rfam:Camelus ferus unplaced genomic scaffold scaffold296, whole genome shotgun sequence.
UGGGGCAGAGCUCAGUGGCAGAGCGUGAGCUUAGCAUGCAGGAGGUGCUGGGUUCAAGCCCCAGUGCCUCCA